GUAGGUGGCAAGCGUUGCCCGGAAUUAUUGGGCGUAAAGCGCGCGCAGGCGGUUCUUUAAGUCUGAUGUGAAAGCCCACGGCUCAACCGUGGAGGGUCAUUGGAAACUGGAGAACUUGAGUACAGAAGAGGAAAGCGGAAUUCCACGUGUAGCGGUGAAAUGCGUAGAGAUGUGGAGGAACACCAGUGGCGAAGGCGGCUUUCUGGUCUGCAACUGACGCUGAGGCGCGAAAGCGUGGGGAGCAAACAGGAUUAGAUACCCUGGUAGUCCACGCCGUAAACGAUGAGUGCUAAGUGUUAGGGGGUUUCCGCCCCCCUUAGUGCUGCAGCUAACGCAUUAAGCACUCCGCCUGGGAGUACGGCCGCAAGGCUG
rnacentral:rRNA from 1 species